GGUUAAGCGACUAAGCGUACACGGUGGAUGCCCUGGCAGUCAGAGGCGAUGAAGGGCGUGCUAAUCUGCGAUAAGCGCCGGUAAGGUGAUAUGAACCGUUAUAACCGGCGAUACCCGAAUGGGGAAACCCAGUGUGAUUCGUCACACUAUCAU
rnacentral:rRNA from 1 species